UACGUAGGGUGCGAGCGUUAAUCGGAAUUAUUGGGCGUAAAGAGCUCGUAGGCGGUUCGGCAAGUCGGAUGUGAAAUCUCCACGCUCAACGUGGAGGGCCAUUCGAAACUGCCGUGACUCGAGUCGGUAGGGGAGUGUGGAAUUCCCGGUGUAGCGGUGAAAUGCGCAGAUAUCGGGAGGAACACCAGAGCGAAGGCGGACUCACUGGCCCGUAACUGACG
rnacentral:rRNA from 1 species